rnacentral:rRNA from 1 species
UACGUAGGUGGCAAGCGUUGUCCGGAUUUACUGGGCGUAAAGAGCGCGCAGGCGGUCGUUCAAGUCGCGUGUGAAAGCCCCCGGCUCAACUGGGGAGGGUCACGCGAUACUGAUCGACUCGAAGGCAGGAGAGGGUAGUGGAAUUCCCGGUGUAGUGGUGAAAUGCGCAGAUAUCAGGAGGAACACCAGUGGCGAAGGCGGCUCACUGGCCCGGUACUGACGCUGAGGUGCGAAAGCGUGGGGAGCAAACAGG